GGCAGUUCUUGGGUGACACACCCCAGAAUUGGGCUCCCUCCUCUCUGGUUCAAGUGUGUCACCCGAAAACCGCU
rfam:Myotis lucifugus cont2.13866, whole genome shotgun sequence.